rnacentral:tRNA from 1 species
AUUUAAAUAGCUUAAUUAAUAAAGUUUAAUAAUGAAAAUAUUAAGAUAAUUUAUAUAAAUUUUUAAAUU